UGGGGAAUAUUGCACAAUGGGCGCAAGCCUGAUGCAGCCAUGCCGCGUGUGUGAAGAAGGCCUUCGGGUUGUAAAGCACUUUCAGCGGGGAGGAAGGCGAUAAGGUUAAUAACCUUGUCGAUUGACGUUACCCGCAGAAGAAGCACCGGCUAACUCCGUGCCAGCAGCCGCGGUAAUACGGAGGGUGCAAGCGUUAAUCGUAAUUACUUGGCGUAAAGCGCACGCAGGCGGUUGAUUGAGUCAGAUGUGAAAUCCCCGGGCUUAACCCGGGAAUUGACUCUGAUACUGGUCAGCUAGAGUCUUGUAGAGGGGGGUAGAAUUCCAUGUGUAGCGGUGAAAUGCGUAGAGAUGUGGAGGAAUACCGGUGGCGAAGGCGGCCCCCUGGACAAAGACUGACGCUCAGGUGCGAAAGCGUGGGGAGCAACCAGG
rnacentral:rRNA from 1 species